GCGAGUGAAGCGGCAAAAGCUCAAAUUUGAAACCCUCGGGNUUGUAAUUUGAAGAUUUGGCAUUGGAGAAAGCUAACCCAAGUUGCUUGGAAUAGUACGUCAUAGAGGGUGACAACCCCGUCUGGCUAACCGUUCUCCAUGUAUUGCCUUAUCAAAGAGUCGAGUUGUUUGGGAAUGCAGCUCAAAGUGGGUGGUAAACUCCAUCUAAAGCUAAAUACUGGUGAGAGACCGAUAGCGAACAAGUACUGUGAAGGAAAGGUGAAAAGAACUUUGAAAAGAGAGUGAAAUAGUAUGUGAAAUUGUUGAUAGGGAAGGAAAUGAGUGGAGAGUGGCCGAGGUUUCAGCCGCCCCUCGUGGGCGGUGUACUGCCGACGCCGAGUCAUCGAUAGCGAGACGAGGGUUACAAAUGGGAGCGCCUUCGGGCGUUCUCCCCUAACCCUCCACACUGCC
rnacentral:rRNA from 1 species